rnacentral:lncRNA from 1 species
UAUUAGUGCUUGCUUAUUUGAUUCUUUGUGCCUCAGCUAUACCACGGUAAAGAAUAGACUUGAAGUCUGAAUACCAUAGAGUAGCUUGUGGGACUGUGAACAAGUUGUUCUAAACCUCCAUAUCUUCCUCUAGAAAUGGAGGAAAUGGUAGCAUCUACCUGUGAAAUUUGGAGUUGGUAUAAAGUGAGAAAUUAAACUGAGCAGGGGGAAUCUCCCAGUGCCAAUCUCUGAAAAGGCUGCAAGACUCUGAAACAGAUCUCCCUAGAAAUCCCACCUGGAAGGACAGUAAGGUAUGCUAUUUGUCCCUUCCUGAAUCUGUUUUCUAUCUGUGCUUCAGCCAUCUAGGUAUUGUACCUCUUGCUUCAUAGUGUCCUGAUUUGUAUGUUUGUCCUUUCUCCAACCCCUAUCCAAAUAGCCUCAGGGCGUUCUGGAAGCACCAUGUCAUGUUAAAGUGUAAAUAAUGUCCACAGCGAUUUCCCCUUAAAUUUAUUUCCUUCAGUGAAUACAUGCCCAAGUAAUAGCAGUUUAAAAAAUAUGGAAAAGUGAAGUAAGAGAUAUUAUAUGGUAUUGUUCUGGAGAUGAUGUCAAACUAAGGAUUCUUUUCAGU